UAACACAUGCACACAAUUAAAUUCAGGUUGAAUAACAUGGAGAUAGGAAAAAACCAGAAAGGUUCCUCUCCUGCAAAAGACAAGACAGUCACUGUUUUGGGGAAUAACAAUAUGUCACCAUCAGACAUAACAUGUAUAACAUAUCCACAAGAAUUUCCAUUUCUACAUAAACCAUAUCCAGAAGAAGUACGUAAUUUACAUCCUUUAACUACUUGUUUGCUUGUUUCUUUUAUAAGUUAUCAAUUCAAGUUAGCAAAAUUAAAAUGGUGUCUUAGGUUUAGGGCUAGUUUGUUGAAAAGAGGUUAGAAACUUUGGUUCUCUUUCAUUUAUUUUGGUUGUUGUAUAGUAUUCUAUUUCAAUGGUGCUAGAGAAUCUAUUUUGUUUAUGAUUGAGUCUUGAAGGAGUCUUUAAUAUAAUGGUAAGUAGAGCAAUGCUAACAACCCUAGUUUUAACUUAAUCUUUCUAACUUUUACUUUUUUUAUUGGAUGAAAUGCGCGCUAGUUUCACCAUAUUAGAAAUUAGUCCCACAUAAAAUGAACGUUUAAAAUAUUGUGUUGAAAUGAAUGCUGUUAACAUGGUAGUAAGAAUUAUUCUUACAACAUGGAUCAUUCUUUUAGUUGUCGAAAAAAUCAUAUCCUUUUUUUUAUAUAUAGAGUGAAUGUUUGAAAUAUUGUGUUAAGAUAUUGAUGUCUUUGAAUAUAGGAGGAGACAGAUUUCAUCAACGAACAACUAGUUAAGCAUGGUAUGAGUGAAAUGUUUGGACUUGGAAACGACAACAACAACAAAAGCCGGCCUUCCGAACGAAUGUAAUGUCAUGAUAUUUAUUUAUAAAUUUAUAAUAAUAACAUGAUCACAUUUUGAUAAUAAUUUCAUUAUAUUAAAGACGAUUUUAUUUUUCAUCUGUAGAAUGAAUUCGCUAUAUGAUCCUAAAUUCGAGGAAAUGGGUUUACCAAUUGAUCCUCAUAUCAGGUUAAUGCGUCUUCAAGGUAAGCUUUGAAUCUAGUUUGAAUAUAUGCAAAAUUCAUACAGAGCUGGCUUAGAACGGACCCCCGCAAGUGGGCGGUGGGAUUGAUUCCCUCGGAUUAGUCGGUCCUUGGAUCGGAUACCGAGUUUUAAAAAAUAUAUAUAUAUAUGCUUAGAGAUAUAUUUUCAGUAAAAACUAAUUAAAGUUCACUGGUUUAAUUAAUUUUUAUCUGUAUUUAUUUUUCUAUGCAGAGCAAGGCAAGGAUUUUGUUGACAAGUAUUUUUUUAUUUGAAUGCAAUGGCCUGUUCAUGAUGGGGGUGUGUGCUGCCAUAUCCAAUAUGUACCGAUGAUGAAAAAUAAAUGCUAAUAUUUUAGCAUAGAAAACUUUAUGUUGAAACUUGGCCUUUUGCUUUGAAUUUGUUACUCGUGUUUUUUAUUUUCUUUUGGUUCUUAAACUUUAAAACCUAUAAUAAAAAAGCUUUGAAGAC
rnacentral:lncRNA from 1 species